CCCUGGGUAGGUCAGUUCCCCUCCCUGGACCCUAGGUUCCUAUCUUGCAAGUAAAGUGAUCGGCUCGCUUAGCCAGUUCCUGCAUCCUCUCCGACACACGCUCUGCACAUGUGUUUAUUCAUCUGAAGCCUGGAAGUCAGCAGGCAUUUAAAGAUCCUCAAGAUUCAUCCUCUCAUGCAUUCUGUGGUAUGGGAAAGAGACCAUCCCUGGGUUUGGAGCCUGAAGCGCUGCGCUGGAGCCUGGUCAGCCACGUAUGUGUUCUGUGUCUUGAGGAGUUUACUCAUGUCUUUGAGCCUUAGUCCCCUGAGUCUAUGAGCAAACAGCCGAGGCACACCCAACACCAUGCCUACCACAUGGUAGGCACUGAAUCUAUGAAAAAAAAAAUUAAAAAAAUCACAAUCAGGCAUAUAAAAAAAUCUUUGAAGGCCUCUGAGUAAGAAGACUGUAUGUGUGUGUUUCCCAGGGCCCCAGACCCCCAAAGCUCCCACAGGUGACUCCAACAUGCCACUGGGUGCUUGUAUUCUACUCAGUGGAGUUGGAGGCAUCUGCUGUUGGCUGUCAGUAUCUCCAGGGCAAGAAUUGAUCACAUCUAUUUUGGGAUCCCCACAGCCCAGCCCAUUGCCUUGCACCAACUAGGUGCUUUGCAUAUGAUUUGGAAUAAGGAAUGAAUGCCUGAUGGAAGACGCUAGAAGGGAACACAGGAGCAUGAACCUCCCCAAAGGAGGCUUGAACCAAUUGCCUGGGCUGGGAUCUCCACAGCAUCCAGUUCUGAUCCUCAUAAGCAUCCCUUCCAACUAACACGAGGGUCUGUAUUCCAGGAGGAGACACUAGGCUCUUUCUGUGGUUCUCAGAUGCAUGAAUGAAUGGAGCUGCGAAAGGCAUGUUUAGUACCUUCUAGAACUGUAACUUAGACUUCAUUAAAAAUAUUUCAUUUUGUGUGG
rnacentral:lncRNA from 10 species